rnacentral:tRNA from 1 species
GGCCUUCAUAGCUCAACGGUAGAGCGUCGGGUUGUACCUGAAGAUCUGGGUUCGAAUCCCAGUGGGCUA